rnacentral:rRNA from 1 species
CCUACGGGUGGCAGCUGUGAGGAAUAUUGGUCAAUGGACGAGAGUCUGAACCAGCCAAGUAGCGUGAAGGAUGACUGCCCUAUGGGUUGUAAACUUCUUUUAUAUGGGAAUAAAACGUUCCACGUGUGGGAUUUUGUAUGUACCAUAUGAAUAAGGAUCGGCUAACUCCGUGCCAGCAGCCGCGGUAAUACGGAGGAUCCGAGCGUUAUCCGGAUUUAUUGGGUUUAAAGGGAGCGUAGGUGGAUUGUUAAGUCAGUUGUGAAAGUUUGCGGCUCAACCGUAAAAUUGCAGUUGAAACUGGCAGUCUUGAGUACAGUAGAGGUGGGCGGAAUUCGUGGUGUAGCGGUGAAAUGCUUAGAUAUCACGAAGAACUCCGAUUGCGAAGGCAGUUCACUGGACUGCAACUGACACUGAGGCUCGAAAGUGUGGGUAUCAAACAGGAUUAGAUACCCUAGUAGUC